UACAGAGGCCUCGAGCGUUAGGCGGAAUCACUGGGCUUAAAGCGUGUGUAGGCGGAUGCCUAAGUACCUUGUGAAAUCCCACGGCUCACCCGUGGAACGGCUGGGUAUACUGGGUGCCUUGGGUCAUCUAGGGGCUGCCGGAACAAAUGGUGGAGCGGUGAAAUGCGUAGAUAUCGUCUGGAACGCCGAAGGUGAAAACAGCUCGCUGGGGUUGUGCUGACGCUGAGACACGAAAGCCAGGGGAGCGAACGGG
rnacentral:rRNA from 1 species